rnacentral:rRNA from 1 species
UGCGUAGGCGGCGUCGUAAGUCAGAAGUGAAAGCUCACAGCUUAACUGUGAAAUUGCUUUUGAUACUGCGGUGCUUGAAUUAGGUUGAGGUUAGCGGAAUGUGACAUGUAGCGGUGAAAUGCAUAGAUAUGUCAUAGAACACCAAUUGCGAAGGCAGCUGGCUAGGCCUAUAUUGACGCUCAAGCACGAAAGCGUGGGGAGCGAACAGGAUUAGAUACCCUGGUAGUCC